rnacentral:lncRNA from 1 species
CUUCCUCUCCCUCUCCUUCCUCCUUGAGGCAAAACCAUAUCAUUGCUUAGUUUUGACUAUGUUCUUUUGAUCAUUGUGAGAAAGCAUCAUUGUAAGAUGUACAAGAAACGUGUUGUGGUGCAUUAUCCCCUUCUCUACCACCUAAAAUCUAUUUUACACGAUCAUAAGGACCAAGGUGUUUUAAGCAUCAGGUAAGGAAUUUGUUGACAAUGAUGUGAGAGAUAGAGACAUGCAACAUACCGGUAUUCAAAAGACGUGAUGUUCUUCUUUUGCAUUUGACAAUAUUCAUUUAGUCUGAACUCCAUAUUUGAGCAACUUAGAAUCUCCACCUUCAUUAGGAUUGCAGGAAGUUGGCUUCUUGGAAAGACAUGGAAAGGGAGCAUCUAGAAAUCUGAAAGAAUUCCAGAGGCUUGUUGCUACUUUUGAAUCAUUCCAAUCAAUAGCAACUCCAAAAGAUAUAUACAAAUCUAUCCCUGGAAAAGAGAUGUGUCCUGUGCAUAUGCAACCAUCUCUCUAAUAGACUCGGGAUUGUGCAUCCUCAUGGUAGUUUCAUAUAUAUUGCACCAUAUGAAUUGUAGAUAUCCAACUACCAAUAUCACUACACCUGAAUGAACUAGGAGUUAUGCUGAAAGUGAAUUUGGACAACCCAUCAUCGAAAGAAUCCUGUAGGAAUACACCAAAAAGAAAAUCUUAUUAACAUAAAUGAAUUCAUCCCGCUAAUGGAUAAAGUUGCCUAAAAAAUUAAAUUGGGAGAGAUAGAAAUAUUGAUGCUUACAUGGGACUGUGAGAGGGACCAACAAGUGGAACAAACAUUGAAUAGUAAAUGUAAAACCAUAAAGCUCGUAACUGUUGUCAAAAGCUGCUCUCUACUGAAGUUUUUUUAACAAUAAAGGUAAGUAGAAAAUUCACCUAAUAGCUCCACUUGUAGGAAAUUUCAAUGGUGUGAAACUAGGAUAUGGUGAACUCACUUUUGCUAAUGCAGUGAACCAUUAUGGAUAAAAAAUGAAUCUCACCAUCAGUUUUCACAUAGGAGAUGUGGGCUCUCUUUGGCCCAUUUCUCAGUAUUGGAUCUAAGAGUUUUGUCUCUCAUAUAUGGUUCCACUUGCCAAAUACAAUGGAGCUUAGCUGAUGACAACACAUUCAGAAAAAUGCAAGAAUUCCAAAGACAUGUUUUGUGCUAUCAUGAAUCAUUCCAAUCAAUAAGGAAUCGAAGUGCUAUAAUUUUGAAUUGUCUUAGGGAACAUACCCCAAUUCAAUCUUGCGGAAGUAAACUGUCUUGAGCACCAACUCAAUUCUGAGAUCUUUGGAAGACUUGAGACACCAAUUCAAUAAAAAAUGCUAGUUGUUUUUGUGGUAGAUUGUCUUCCUCCACUAAUACUGGGGAAAAUGCUUUUGAAAACCAUUAAUCUGAAAAUUACAGAGGAAAAUGAGAUUAUGUUGUUAUUGUAUCUCCAAUCUCCUUGACAUAAAUAGAUAUUUCCUUGCAACCAACAAUUUCUAAUUCUAUCACUUCUAUUCUAGCAUGUGAUUUAGGAAGAGAAUUAAGGUUCAGAAUAUUGCCAACAUGCAAGGAAUUGACAAAGGCCAAGUGGGCAGCCAUAAUAGUUAGUUCACAAACAAAUGACACCAUUGGAAGUGGAACACAAAACAUAAACUUCAAAAAUAAAACAUGUAUCCCACAAUCAUAAAUACCAAGGUGUUUAAGCAUCAAGUAAGGCAUCUCUUGACAAUGAUGUGAGAGAGAGACAUGCAACAUACCAGUAUUCAAGAGAACUAGUAUUCUUCUUUUGCAUUAGGCAACAUUCAUCUAUUCUACACUCCAAAUUUUAGCAACUCAGGAUCUCCAC